rnacentral:rRNA from 1 species
AUUGAACGCUAACGGCGUGCUUAACACAUGCAAGUCGAGCGGCAGCACAGUAGUAGCAAUACUAUGGGUGGCGAGCGGCGGACGGGUGAGUAAUACAUAGGAAUCUGCCUUAUAGUGGGGGAUAACCCGGGUAAACUCGGGCUAAUACCGCAUAAUCUAGACGGAGAAAAGUAUGGGACCUUCGGGCCAUAUGCUAAAAGAUGAGCUUAUGUUGGAUUAGCUAGUUGGUAGGGUAAAGGCCUACCAAGGCAACGAUCCAUAGCUGGUCUGAGAGGAUGAUCAGCCACACUGGGACUGAGACACGGCCCAGACUCCUACGGGAGGCAGCAGUGGGGAAUAUUGGACAAUGGGCGCAAGCCUGAUCCAGCAACGCCGUGUGUGUGAAGAAGGCCUUAGGGUUGUAAAGCACUUUUAGUGGGGAAGAAAAGUUCAUGGCUAAUAUCCAUGAAUGCUGACGUUACCCACAGAAAAAGCACUGGCUAACUCUGUGCCAGCCGCCGCCGUAA